rnacentral:rRNA from 1 species
GAUGAACGCUGGCGGCGUGCCUAACACAUGCAAGUCGAACGAUGAUCUCCCGCUUGCGGGGGUGAUUAGUUGCGAACGGGCGAGUAAUACGUGCGUAACCUGCCCUUGUCUCUGGGAUAAGUCUGGGAAACCGGGUCUAACACUGGAUACUACUUACUGCCGCAUGGUGGGGUGUGGAAAGGGGUUUGCUGGUUUUGGAUGGGCUCAAGGCCUAUCAGCUUGUUGGGGGAGUAAUGGCUCACCCAGGCGACGAGGGGUAGCCGGCCUGCGAGGGUGACCGGCGACACUGAGACUGAGACAAGGCCCAGACUCCGACGGGAGGCAGCAGUGGGGAAUAUUGCACAAUGGGCGCAAGCCUGAUGCAGCGACGCCGCGUGAGGGAUGACUGCCUUCGGGUUGUAAACCUCUUUCAGCAGGGAAGAGGCAACAAGUGACGGUACCUGAAGAAGAAGCGCCGGCUAACUACGUG